CAUCCAGUACCUAAAGGGGCUACAAGAAACCUGGAGAGGGGCUUCGGACAAGGGCCUGUAGGGACAGGACAAAGGGAAUGGCUUUAACCUGACAGAGGGGAGACUGAGAUCUGUUAGGCAGAAGCUCUCCCCUGCGAGGGUGCUGAGGCGCUGGCACAGGGUGCCCACAGAAGCUGUGGCUGCCCCAUCCCUGGCAGUGCUCAAGGCCAGGUUGGACACAGGGGCUUGGAGCAAGCUGCUCUAGUGGAAGGUGUGUCUGCCCGUGGCAGGGGUUGGAACUGGAUGAGCUUUAAGGUCCCUUCCAACCCAAACCAUUC